UUGACCUCAAAUCAGGUAGGACUACCCGCUGAUCUUAAGCAUAUCAAUAAGCGGA
rnacentral:rRNA from 1 species